rnacentral:misc_RNA from 1 species
CGGGCUUGACAUGCCGGUGGUAGCGAGGGGAAACCCGAGCGACCCGCGAGGGAGCCGGCACAGGUGCUGCACGGCUGUCGUCAGCUCGUGCCGUGAGGUGUUGGGUUAAGUCCCGCAACGAGCGCAACCCCCGCGGCCAGUUACCACGUCUGGCCGGACCGCCGGGACCAACCCGGAGGAAGGUGGGGAUGACGUCAGUGCUUGCCU